rnacentral:rRNA from 1 species
UGCAGUCGAGCGACGCUCUCCCUUCGGGGAGAUGACGGAGCGGCGAACGGGUGAGUAACACGUGGGCAACCUGCCCCUAGCUCUGGGACAACUCCUCGAAAGAGGGGCUAAUACCGGAUACGACCUCGGAAGACAUCUUCUGCGGUGGAAAGUUUUUCGGCUAGGGAUGGGCCCGCGGCCUAUCAGCUUGUUGGUGAGGUAACGGCCCACCAAGGCGACGACGGGUAGCCGGCCUGAGAGGGCGACCGGCCACACUGGGACUGAGACACGGCCCAGACUCCUACGGGAGGCAGCAGUGGGGAAUAUUGCGCAAUGGGCGAAAGCCUGACGCAGCGACGCCGCGUGAGGGAUGAAGGCCUUCGGGUUGUAAACCUCUUUCAGCAGGGACGAAAACAGACGGUACCUGCAGAAGAAGCACCGGCCAACUACGUGCCAGCAGCCGCGGUAAUACGUAGGGUGCAAGCGUUGUCCGGAAUUAUUGGGCGUAAAGAGCUCGUAGGCGGUUUGUCGCGUCGGCUGUGAAAACUCGGGGCUCAACCCCGAGCCUGCAGUCGAUACGGGCAGACUAGAGUGCUGUAGGG